rnacentral:rRNA from 1 species
UUGAAAGGGAAACGAUUGAAGUCAGUCAUGCUGGUGGGAAUCAACUUAGGGGAAACUCUGGGUGCACUUCUUGGCUUGGCAGGUCAACGUCGAUUUUGAAUGUCUUAAAAUAAUUGGGGAAGGUAGCUCCUUCGGGAGUGUUAUAGCCCUUGAUAGAUGUGAUGUUGGGGGUCGAGGAUUGCAACGGAUACCCUUUGGGGCUAGCUGCCUGAUCUCUAAUUGGUGUUGGGUUCCGGAUAGCAUGCUGGCCGUGUUCUUAUUACGGGUUAAAGGGUUGGAGCGGAUUACAUUCGUUAAGGAUGUUGACGUA